UACGGGAGGCAGCAGUAGGGAAUCUUCCGCAAUGGGCGAAAGCCUGACGGAGCAACGCCGCGUGAGUGAUGAAGGUCUUCGGAUCGUAAAACUCUGUUAUUAGGGAAGAACAAACGUGUAAGUAACUGUGCACGUCUUGACGGUACCUAAUCAGAAAGCCACGGCUAACUACGUGCCAGCAGCCGCGGUAAUACGUAGGUGGCAAGCGUUAUCCGGAAUUAUUGGGCGUAAAGCGCGCGUAGGCGGUUUUUUUAAGUCUGAUGUGAAAGCCCACGGCUCAACCGUGGAGGGUCAUUGGAAACUGGAAACUUGAGUGCAGAAGAGGAAAGUGGAAUUCCAUGUGUAGCGGUGAAAUGCGCAGAGAUAUGGAGGAACACCAGUGGCGAAGGCGACUUUUCUGGGUCUGUAACUGACGCUGAUGUGCGAAAGCGUGGGGAUCAAACAGGGAUUAGAUACC
rnacentral:rRNA from 1 species